ensembl:snoRNA
AGCCACGUGAUGUUAACGUGGCUACAUGGAGAACACAGGUUUUGCUUCCAUCACUGUAAUUUUAUUGCAGUGGUGACAGUGAGACCUGUAACUUUU